rnacentral:rRNA from 1 species
UACGAAGGAUGCAAGCGUUAUCCGGAUUUAUUGGGUUUAAAGGGAGCGUAGGCGGUCUUAUAAGUCAGUGGUGAAAUCUUGUCGCUUAAACGACAAACGUGCCAUUGAUACUGUAGGACUUGAGUACAGAUGCCGUUGGGCGGAAUGGUGUCAUGUAGCGGUGAAAUGCAUAGAUAUGACACAGAACACCAGUGGCGAAGGCGGCUCACUGGCCCGGUACUGACGCUGGAGGUGCGAAAGCGUGGGGAGCAAACAGGAUUAGACUAC